rnacentral:rRNA from 1 species
UACGUAGGGGGCAAGCGUUGUCCGGAAUCAUUGGGCGUAAAGAGCGUGUAGGCGGCCCGAUAAGUCCGCUGUGAAAGUCCAGGGCUCAACCCUGGGGUGCCGGUGGAUACUGUCGGGCUCGAGUCCGGAAGAGGAGUGUGGAAUUCCUGGUGUAGCGGUGAAAUGCGCAGAUAUCAGGAGGAACACCAAUGGCGAAGGCAGCACUCUGGGACGUGACUGACGCUGAGACGCGAAAGCGUGGGUAGCAAACAGG